rnacentral:lncRNA from 1 species
AUUCGGAAUUCUCGCUUACCACAUCUAGCAACCGCGAAGAAAGGACGUUGCCUACGGUCUGCGACACAUCGCAUUUCCGUUGCAGCAAAGGUACUCUGACUGACCAUUUAUCGACAAAUGCUGUAAUUAUGAAUAACAACGGGAAUUUCGGCUCAUGGACUGUAUACUCGGCUGCGAUCUCGCUGGGAUAUAAGUGAUCUGUUUUCAGUUUCUUAACAAGUAUUUCGAGCCUUAUAUUUUUGCAGAUUGGCGUCCUCAUUCCGAACACAGUUCCAGUAAGGGCAUCGCAGUGCUGUGCUGUUUUCGGACGUAACCCUUCAUGGUCCGUGGCUGUGCUUCGAUCGUCGGUGACUCCUGCCAACUCCAUUCUGUUGGCUGGCACUUAUCAGAUUUCCCGAUAGCUCGGAACCAGAAAAUGACCGACGACUGUGAACGGACGUGAAGAAGUAUGUGAAAGCUUCGUCACCGUGCAGAGCAGAAUGUACUUCCUGGAGCAUGGAAUCGCAUGAAAUAUUCAAAAGUUAUC